GGCAUCAAUGAGUAGGAGGGCAUGGGGGCCUGUGAUGAUGCUUUUGGCGAAAGCCUGGGUGAAACAGCUUCUAGUGCAGAUCUUGGUGGUAGUAUCAAAUAUUCAAAUGAGAACUUUGAAGACUGAAGUGGAGAAGGGUUCCAUGUGAACAGCAUUUGGACAUGGGUUAGUCGAUCCUAAAAGACAGGGAUGUUCCGCACACGCAAGCUUUGCCUCGACUCUCGAAAGGGAAUGGGGUUAAUAUUCCCCAACCAGGACGUGGGAUACUGUAUGGCAACGUAAGAGAAUUCGGUGACGCAUGUGGGAGCCUUGGGAAGCGUUGUCUUUUCUUUUUUACCGCCUCUUACCCUGAAAUCAGAUUGCCUGGAGAUAGGGUUACCAUGGCGGGGGUAAAGCACCUUGUCUUCCCGAGGUGUCCGGUGCGCUCUCAAACUGUCCUUGAAAAACCCCAAAGGAAAAACUUUAUUCACACCCCCUGGUCGUACCCCAUUAACC
rnacentral:rRNA from 1 species